rnacentral:rRNA from 1 species
UACGGGGGGAGCAAGCGUUGUUCGGAUUUACUGGGCGUAAAGGGCGCGUAGGCGGUAGCACAAGUCAGUUGUGAAAUCUCCGGGCUUAACUCGGAAAGGUCAACUGAUACUGUGCGACUAGAGUGCAGAAGGGGCAACUGGAAUUCUCGGUGUAGCGGUGAAAUGCGUAGAUAUCUGGAGGAACACCGGUGGCGAAGGCGGCAUCCUGGACCGAUACUGACGCUGAGGAGCGAAAGCCAGGGGAGCAAACGGG